UACAGAGGGUGCAAGCGUUGUUCGGAAUCAUUGGGCGUAAAGGGCGUGUAGGCGGUUUGUUAAGUCAUGUGUGAAAUCCCUCGGCUCAACCGGGGAACGACGCAUGAAACUGGCAAGCUAGAGUACCAAAGAGGGCGGUGGAAUUCCCGGUGUAGCGGUGAAAUGCGUAGAGAUCGGGAGGAACACCGGUGGCGAAGGCGGGUCUCUGGGCAUCUCCUGACGCUGAGGCGCGAAAGCGUGGGGAGCAAACGGG
rnacentral:rRNA from 1 species